rnacentral:snRNA from 1 species
GUGCUUGCUUCGGCAGCAUAUAUACUAAAAUUGGAACGAUACAGAGAAGAUUAGCAUGGCCCCUGUGCAAGGAUAACUCACAAAUUCAUGAAGCAUCCCAUAUUUUU